UCAGUCGUCGGACGUCAGACUUCAGGAAAAAAUAAAACCUAAGAAUAAUUCCUGACGACCGAUGUCCGACGACUGACGACUGAAUAGCGGCGGACGGGUGAGUAACACGUGGAUAACCUGCCCGUUAGACCGGGAUAACACCGGGAAACUGGUGCUAAUACCGGAUAAGCUCUUUAGAGCAAAAGCUUACAAAGAGGAAAGGGGGAACCCGCUAAAGGAUGGGUCCGCGUCCUAUUAGCUAGUUGGUAGGGUAACGGCCUACCAAGGCGACGAUGGGUAGCCGGCCUGAGAGGGUGACCGGCCACACUGGGACUGAGACACGGCCCAGACUCCUACGGGAGGCAGCAGUGGGGAAUAUUCCGCAAUGGGGGAAACCCUGACGGAGCAAUGCCGCGUGAGUGAAGAAGGCCUUUGGGUCGUAAAACUCUGUCUUGAGGGACGAAAAAAAUGACGGUACCUCAAAAGAAAGCCCCGGCUAACUACGUGCCAGCAGCCGCGGUAAAACGUAGGGGGCGAGCGUUGUCCGGAAUUACUGGGCGUAAAGGGCGUGCAGGCGGCCUGUGUAGUCAAGCGGUGAAAACCCGGGGCUUAACUUCGGGAUGGCCCUUGAAACCAACAGGCUUGAGGACAGGAGAGGGGAGUGGAAUUUCCGGUGUAGCGGUGAAAUGCGUAGAUACCGGAAGGAACACCAGUGGCGAACGCGGCUCCCUGGACUGGUCCUGACGCUGAGCGCGAAAGCGUGGGGAGCAAACA
rnacentral:rRNA from 1 species